rnacentral:snRNA from 1 species
AUACUUACCUGGCAGGGGAAACACUGUGCUCCAUUUCCCAGGAUGAGGCUAACCCAUUGCACUGUGGGUUGUGCUGAUGUACAAUGUCCCUAAAUGUGAGAUACUUGACUGCAAAAUUUGUGGCAGUGGGGACUGCCGUUUGCGCUCUCCCCU